rnacentral:rRNA from 1 species
CCUUACACAUGCAAGUCGAACGGCAGCACGGGUGCUUGCACCUGGUGGCGAGUGGCGAACGGGUGAGUAAUACAUCGGAACAUGUCCUGUAGUGGGGGAUAGCCCGGCGAAAGCCGGAUUAAUACCGCAUACGAUCUACGGAUGAAAGCGGGGGACCUUCGGGCCUCGCGCUAUAGGGUUGGCCGAUGGCUGAUUAGCUAGUUGGUGGGGUAAAGGCCUACCAAGGCGACGAUCAGUAGCUGGUCUGAGAGGACGACCAGCCACACUGGGACUGAGACACGGCCCAGACUCCUACGGGAGGCAGCAGUGGGGAAUUUUGGACAAUGGGCGAAAGCCUGAUCCAGCAAUGCCGCGUGUGUGAAGAAGGCCUUCGGGUUGUAAAGCACUUUUGUCCGGAAAGAAAUCCCUGGCUCUAAUACAGCCGGGGGAUGACGGUACCGGAAGAAUAAGCACCGGCUAACUACGUGCCAGCAGCCGCGGUAAUACGUAGGGUGCAAGCGUUAAUCGGAAUUACUGGGCGUAAAGCGUGCGCAGGCGGUUUGCU